rnacentral:lncRNA from 1 species
CCAAAUGUACUCUCACAGAAACAUCCAGAAUAAUGUCUGACCAAAUAUCUGGGUACUGUGGUCCAGCCAAAUUGACACAUAAAAUUAACCAUCAAAGCCAGGCGCCGUGGCUCACACCUGUAAUCCCAGCACUUUGGGAGGCCAAGGUGGAUGGACUGCGAGGUCAGGAGUUCAAGACCAGCCUGGCCAAUAUGGUGAAACCCUGUCUCUACUAAAAAUACAAAAAUUAGCUGGGUGUGAUGGUGCGCGGCUGUAAUCCCAGCUACUUGGGAGGCUGAGGCAGAAGAAUCACUUGAAUCUGAAAGGUGGAGGUUGCGGUGAGCUGAGAUUGCAUCACUGCACUCCAGCCGCGACAGAGCAAGACUCUGUCUCAAAAAAAAAAAAAAAAAAAAAUUAACCAUCAAAGGCUUUUACAGAAAAAGUUUGUAGAACCCUCGGAGUCACACCUCACCAGAGCUGAAGACUUGUUGGAUUGACCUCACGAGAGGAUUUUAGGUGGGCGUGACUUUGGAUGUCAAGGAGAAUGGAGAGUAAGCUGUGAUCAGAAUGCUGUGGUCAUGCCUCCAUGGCUCUAGCUGACUCCCCCAAGGGCAAAGUCCACCCUGACCCUCCCCUAUGGACACAGUCCUUAGUUUACAAUGUAAUUUCACAUUUUUUUUUUAUUUGAAACGACCCUUUAAGGUAGAGUCCGGGGAGAUGAUACUGUUUUACUGAUAAGCAAACUGAGGCCCAGAGAGGUGAGGUAAUACCACACAGGGAGUUCGGGUAAGAAUGGUGAUCUCCUGGUUCCCAGUUUGGUGUUCUUGGGAAUCACAAUUCACUCUAGGGUGACCAACUGUUCUGUAUUGCUGCUGUUGUUGUUGUUUGAGAUGGAGUCUCGCUUUGUCACCCAGGCUGUAGUGCAGUAGGCAAACUGGGACAAACUGAUCACCCUACUUUGCCACCUCAGGGAUGUCUGACCUCAGUUACCCUAGCACUAAGUAGAAUUAGCCAGCCAGGAGCUCAAGGCCCUGGGGAGACCCCUCAGUUACGUGUGAUGUGAGCAGACUGCCAGCACGGGCACCGACCGGUGUGUGUCCCUUUUCUCCAAACUCGAGAACAGAAACGUGAUGGCGGCUUGAAGGGGGCUGGAAGGAGCUCUAGAACCCAGAGGUGAGACCUGCCCCAGCUUGCACCCCCUUUAGCAGCCAAUGCCCCUGCUUGCCCCUAAGUUUCUCCAUCUCUAAAAUGAUGAUCUUUGGGUGCACCUAAUAAAUAUUUACAUUUUUAAAUUAUACUUUCUUCUAGCACUGGAACUAAUAUUCAUUCAUUAUCAUAGACUUGGGGGGAA